rnacentral:tRNA from 1 species
AGCUGCGGUAGUAGAGUUAAUAUGCUCGUUUUAGGCGCGAGAGACGGGGGUUACACUCCCCCCCGCGGCUU